CCUACGGGUGGCAGCAGUGAGGAAUAUUGGUCAAUGGACGCAAGUCUGAACCAGCCAUGCCGCGUGCAGGAUGACGGCUCUAUGGGUUGUAAACUUCUUUUGUACGGGGGUAAACCCCGAUACGUAUAUCGUGUUGAAAGUAUCGUACGAAUAAGGAUCGGCUAACUCCGUGCCAGCAGCCGCGGUAAUACGGAGGAUCCGAGCGUUAUCCGGAUUUAUUGGGUUUAAAGGGAGCGUAGGCGGUUUGAUAAGUUAGUGGUGAAAGGCCGGGGCUCAACCUCGAAACUGCAUUUAAUACUGGUGGACUAGAGAAGAGUCGCGGUAGGCGGAAUUUAUGGUGUAGCGGUGAAAUGCUUAGAGAUCAUACAGAACACCGAUUGCGAAGGCAGCUCACCAAACUACAUCUGACGUUGAGGCACGAAAGCGUGGGUAGCAAACAGGAUUAGAUACCCCAGUAGUC
rnacentral:rRNA from 1 species